GAUAAGCACAAAUAUACAAAAAGCCGUGUGCCUGCUGCAGAAUUAGAAGAGGUCUUUAUUUGGGAGGAAAGGGUUAAUACCUUUUAACGUCAUUUCAGGGUUUGGGGGUCAGGGGAGAACAAUGAGAAUAAACAGUCUGAGAGCUGGGUGCUCUGUGCUCUAGCAUGACUAACUGUAAGAGCUCUUAGGUACAAGGAUUUUAAGACAAAUACUUUUGUCUUAAAGUAUGCCCAGAGGCCAUUAGUGUUGCUGUUGUGAUUCUCAGCAAUGCCCUAGAUAGCUAAGGCUGCUCCAACAGGCCUCCAGAGGGAGAGGGAGCUUUGCACAGAGCUGGCAGGUCACAAACACAGUGUCAGCAGAGCGUAAGGGGCCAGGUGUGCCUCAGGGAGGUCAGCACAACACACAACGAAGACCACCCAGGGCAGGGUCAGCACCCAACGCAGGCGGUCCCUCCAGGGACCUCAGGGCCAGGUCAGUGGGGGAUACCAGCCACACACAACACAGCAGGAGGUCUGGGGUCCAUGGUGGCCCCAAGGGCACGGCCCUACCCAAAGGGCGCCACUAGCACACAGCUCCAGCCACGCGGCCUCACAGGAACACGGGCCAGGAUGUCUAGGUCGUCGAGAUUCUCCAGAAACCUAGAAAUCUGGUUUUUUAAUACGAAGUCUCCCAAACGUUGGCUCAAAUUUUUUAUUUCUUUGUUUUAGUGUUCCACGGGCCACAGAGACACACCUGUGGGUUCAGUCUAGAACCCACACUAUACAAACCCUGACACUACACAAACCCUGGCCUCAUCGUGUCCUAGAAGUGCUGACAGUUAGCAAGGGGACCCUCAAGGUACUUAUGGCCUCCACGUUUCUCAAUCUGUAAAAGGAGGAGAGUUCUUUUGUGCGCUGUUUUCCAAAAGGGGCAAAAGAAAAAACAAUUUCUAAUCCUUUGGGAGAAAAAGCAAAUUAGUGUUUUAAAAUUUACAUGUAUCUAGUGCCAAACUAUCACCUCGCCCAUUUCUUGCUGGUCCCCUGGGGGAAAAUGUAAGUUAACAGUGGAGGGAACAGACUUUAACCCAGGGAUGAAUUUUAGCAUCAUCAGUUACGGGACAACCAGAUGUUGGGUCCCUCCUGAUCAAAUAGCAUCCCCCAUUCCUGUCUUACAAGUUUCAACUGAAUUUGAUCAACCUUUUAGAUCCAACUCCUAAGGUACAGGAAACCCAGGAGAAAGAAGAACACAUUAUAUGAUACCACAGGAAACAAUCAAAUGUGGUCAGAGAGACGACCUACUGACCCCUCAAGGUCAUUGAAAAAGGGAAGCGAAGACUGUUCUUGAUUAACAGGGUCUUAAGAGACCUCACAGCUAACUGCAAUAUGUGAUUCUCAACUGAAUUCUGGUUUAAGCAGCCCACUUGUAAAAGGCAUUUCAGGGCCGGUUGGGGGAAUUCAGAUAAUGGACCAGGUAAUAGAGUCCAGCAGGCAAUUAUCGUUAAUUUUGUGAAAACUGCAUGAUGGUUAUGAAGGCACAGGGUUUUUGUUUUUUUCUCCUAGAGACACAGGCUGAAGUAUUUAGGGGCUAAGUGUCAUGAGGUCUGAAUGAUCCCUUUUGAAUACUUCAGGAAAAAAAAGAUAGAUGCAGCCAAUGUGGCAAAAUGUUAACGACUUAAAUGUAGACGGUGGGGACUGGAGUAAGCUGGUGCCACAGAGCUGUCAUUAGGUGGCAUUAAGUCCCCAUCAGUCUCAAUUACUGGAAGACAGAAGGAUUUUUUUUUUUAACCACAUCCCUCCAAUGCCCGAGUCGUAUGUGUUUUAAAUUUUAAAUCACCAGCUGCCAGAAGAAAAAAUGAGAGCAACCCAAACAGGUCUAACUUGAGGUUCAACCCACACAAUAAAGAAGCAACUGUGAAAUUUGGGUCCUGAAACUUUCUGCACGAACGCAUCAAAUUCUGGACUUGGUCUGUCUUCGCCAGCAUUGCUCAAUUUUAAGGAGCAGCUUUAUAUGGUCUCCAAAGCAUUCCACCCGCUGUAACCUCGAAUAAAGACUCUGAUCAUAAUUAAGGAGGAAAGGGGGGGAGGGUAGAUCUAAAACUUGCACUAAAAUGAUCCUAUUCAGUUACCACUUCAGCCUGUGACAAAAGGUUAGAUGUCUUAAGAUACAAGCUUACCUGAAAAAGAAUACAGUUUGAAACGCGAAGAGGUAUUUUAAGUUUUAAAAAAAAACGGAUCUUACUUAUCUAUUCGAAAUCUAAUACUUGAUGAUAUUCACUCACAAUUCCAGGCACUUGAUUAGCUGCCACACCACACACUGGCUAGUUCUUUAAAUCUGCUUUUUAAAAAAUGCCUAGUCAUCCAAUCUAACAGUCACCUAGGCCAACGGCCCAUCCAAUGGCUGACCCUUGGCCGUUCAAGAUGCGUAUUAACGCACCAUGGGAAAGAGCUCUGAAGUCAGAUAAAUCUGGACUCCGCUGGUCCCACCACUCACUACAGGGUGGUUUCAUCCCGGGCUGGUGACAAUCUCUCUGAACCUCAACUUCCUCACCUAAAAAUGGAGAUAAUUAUUCCCUCUUCAUAAAGGCAGACUCUGAUGACUUCAUAGCACGUUCCGUGCACUAGGCCAGCCAACCUGGAAGGACUCAAAGUAGUCUGUAAAGAACUUGAGAGCCUAGGCUCUCAGUCAGCUUAGCUCACAGCUCUAAACCUUACUAGUCGUAUAUAGACUUUGCAGCCUAGGCUCUCAGUCAGCUCACAGCUCUAAACCUUACUAGCGGAAUAUAGACUUUGCAACUUCUCUUUCUUGCCGUGUUUUCCUUGUCUGCAAAAUGGACAGAAGAAUAGGGCCUGCGGCAUAAGGGCUUUGGGGAGAAUCAAACGAGCUCCUGUGUAGAUAGGUCAGGCCAUGCCUGGCACGUAGGACGCACUCAAUAAACAGGAGCUAUCAUGACUCGCUCCCCUCCUUCCUUAUACCCCAUUUUAGGAAAGCAUGACUCACGGACCCCAAACUGCACACAUCGUUGUGGCCAAACAGCAGGACUCAUCCCUGCCACAUCAGAAAGUACCUAAAAGCCUCCCUGGGAAGUGAGAGUGGUCCCACCGACCCCACCUGUAACUGCCCGUGAAGAGCCUGGCCCACUGCCUCUACCUCUCCUGUCAGGAAUGACAGCCACGUGCUCCCCAACCCAUGACUCGUGCCAAUGGCUCCAUCCUGACCCUAAGACUAAGUGGUUGGUGCAGGGUCUUGACCUUCCAUGGCAGCCCCAGCUCAGCCUCAUGCCCCCCAAGUAGAAGUUUCUAUAUCCACCACCACAAGCAAGUGUGUUCCCUUCUGUGGGCUUUGAAGCAGUGAUUCUGCAAAGACAUCAGCAUCAAACGGAGACCCUUCCUGCCUGCCAUCCCGCUGGCUCCCCGAGAUGCUUUUCUGACACCAGCCUUCGUGCUCACUUCCCUCAAUCCCUCCUCCACGCUCACCUUUUAUCAGAGUCCUAGGCGGGCCUCCUCCACUGGUCUACACAGACCCUUUGUGAGAAUUACAAAAAGCACCUGCCCUGGAUGGCAGGGUGGGGGUGAGGGAGAUGCCUGAUGAGCUAAGGGCACCUCUGAGAAUUAGAAAAAAGUGACCCUUCCUCCAGGCUGGCGACCCUGCACCAUAGCUUAGGUUCUAUCACUAGAUUCUACUAUUGAAGUCAACUCAAGCAACUGCCCUGUGCCAGGAUCUCUCUGGGCUUACAAACAGGAACAAGAGCUACAGCCUCCGAGCUGAGACCGGGGCUGGAGGGAGGGGGAAACUUGUGGAACCAGGACAGCCUAGGCACAAGAGUUGCUUUCUCCUCUUGAGCUGGGGAGCCCAGCAGAGGUGCUGCCACAUGAACUGGACCUGGAGAGCUGGGCGAGCAGUGCCAGAAAGGAUGUAAGCAGACUCCAGGCAGAGGGGGAAACACCCGCAAAGGCAAGAAGCAGCCCGUUCCACGGUGCACUUAGAGGAAGGUGAGUUUUCAGUGAAGGGGCAGGAAAAGGAGGGAAGGGGUGAAGAGAUGAGGUCGUCGUUCACUCUUUCCGUAAAUAUUUCUUGAGAAUCCACUAUGUGCCGGUAUCGUGUAAGGCAGGGAGAGUAAAAAAUAAAUAAAAUAAACCCUAGCUGUCAGAAGCUAAAAAUGUAGUCUGGGAGAAAGAAAUAGUUAUAAUCAUAAAACAACAACAGAGGGACACAUAAUACUUCCGGGUUGUAGGGCAUAUGAAAGACAGGAAGUGAUCUGCUGGGGAACUGGGAGGGACCAGCAGAGGAGAUGACCGGCACAGCUGCCUGGCAGGUGAGGGUGAGGCCAGGGGUGCAGAGGGGCGGAGGGAGCAAAGGCAGAGUGUGCUGUGUGUAGGGAUGGGGGGGCGGGCUGUGAAGCAGGCAGCUGCCAGGGUGGGACCAGAGCGGGAGGCAAACCAACCAGAGAGGGCGUGGCACACUGCGUUACAAAGGGAUGUGAAACCUCCACCUUAACAGGAAACUGGGAUUUCAGCCCACAGGCAAACGCAGAUCAAACCAGGCAAGGAGGGGAUGAGGGGAUUCAUCUGGCUAGGUCUGCGCCUCAGCUCAAACGCUCUGCGGCAGGCUGGAGGGUGGGAGGUGUGGACAUGUCGGUGGGUCAUCAGAAAGCGAGUAGCGACAAACCAUCCACCGGCACAGCAUCCAAGGGACCUCCCAGGUGGCGGUGUCACCCUGAUCCCCUAACGCUGCACUUUGUCUCACGAAGACAACCUGUUUCCAAAAUAGAAGUGGGUACCCCUCUUGUAUGCGGUGUUUCCAGCAUGAUUUUACUCCCCUUUUGAUGUGUUAUUGGCGUUUUACACGUGGCCUACUUUUUGAAAGAGUCUGAUUUUCUUUUGGCCAAUCUUAAGACAGCAACAACAAACGCUCAAAAGCCUUGCACAGCGUUUUUUUUUCACAGGAUGGAUCUUAACGGUUGGGUGCCUCUGACCCAAGGUGACCACCGUCUCCACCUACAUCCCAUGUCCUGACUUCCCAUUUGAUUCAGCACGUGUUGCAAACAAAAGUGUCCCUUGUUUAGAUGACAGAUUAUAGGAUUGCCCUUCUCCACCUGAAGGUAGGGUCCAAAAGAUAACAUCUUUCUCUACUGCCGCAAUUCUCCACACAGACCAACUGCUGAGAAGUUCCAGGGGAGCAACAGCUCAAUUAUCAAAUCUUCUUCCAAUAAAGGCUCUUUUUUUUUUUAAAAUAGCUGCACUGUGAUGCUUGUGGGGUCCUAGUUCCCCGACCAGGGAUCGAACCCAGGACCCAGCAGUGAAAGCGCCAAGUGCUAACCAUGGGACCCCGCCAGGACAUUCCCAACAAUAAAGACUCUUUUAAUAAAGUGAGACUUUGCUGGAUGGAAGCUGGAAAGUGAUCCUGUGUCCUCAGCACUGGAUUGGGACAGAGAGAGCAGACAGACCUCGGAGAUACCACAGGCUCAGUUCCAGAGCACCGCGAUAAAUCGAAUAUCACCAUAAAACGAGUCACACGAAUUUUGGGUUCCCAGUGCAAAAACAGAAACAUCUGAAUCGAAUUUCCUCAUGAAAUCAACCUGUAGGAAGGCCAAGCCCGCUCACUGCCGCUGUUGCACAAGGUCUACACCCCUGCAAGAACGUGGUCCCUGAACCAGCUGCAGCGUGAGCAUCACCUACUCAAUCAGAAACUCGGGAGGCAGGGCCCAGCAAUGUCUGCUUUAAGAAGCACCGCCCCGCCCCCGCCCCCCCCCACCCCCCCGCCGGGUCAUUCCGAUGCACCUGAACUUGAAAAGCGCUUGCUUAAACUCUCUUCAGAAGCCUACCAGAUAACAAAGCAAACAUACCUGGCUCCGAAGAUGUCCUUUUUGGCGAGAUCAAUUCCAGAAACAACCUUCA